UGGAAAAAUGUUUCCCUUAAGGAACUCGACCAUUCUAUGAAUCACUUCUUAUGUACAAAAAUAGGAAGGUUAAAUCAUGGACCUUACACUUUCUGUGGACCUGCAAAAUAAGGCCAUGCAAUCAAUAGUCCAACUGCAUGCAAAAUAAUUGGUACAUGUACUAUUAGUGUUCCAGUUGCAAGUUGAGCACCAUACUGACAGCAUGAUGGUAUCAGAACUGUGAACUUCACGUAUAUCAUAUUUUGGAGUGGGGGAGUGUUGACAGAGGAGGGGGGUAAUUGAGCAUGCACAUCUCCUUGACACCCCCAAACCACACCCACACUCGCACACCUAGAGAGAGAGAGAGAGAGAGAGAGAGAA
rnacentral:lncRNA from 1 species